GACAGGAUCCAGAGACACUCUCAGUCUUGGAAAUCCUACCAACAAGGAUUCAGAGAUGGAGUUUCACCAUGUUGCCAAGGCUGGUCUCAAACUCCUGGGCUCAAGCGAUCUGCCUGGUUCCUCCUGCUAAAGUGCUGGGAUUACAGAGUCUCACUCUGUGGCCCUGGCUGAAUGCAGUGGCACGAUCUUGGUUCACUUCAACCUCCACCUCCUGGGUUCAAGCAAUUCUCCUGCCUCAGCCUCCUGAGUAGCUGGGACUGCAGGUGUGAGCCACUACACCCGGCUAAUUUUUGUAUUUUUAGUAGAGAUGGGGUUUCGCCAUGUUGGGCAGGCUGGUCUUGAACUCCUGACCUCAAGUGAUCUGCUGUCUUUAGACUCCUGAAGUGCUGGGAUUACAGGUGUAAGCCACCUUGCUCGGCCCAAGGAAGAAUUUCUUAAUUAAAGAUGUAUACAAUACGCUAAAGGAUUAAAAAUUUACACACUACACAAAAAUUAAAUUCUACUUAUCAAUGGUCAACAUUUUAAAAAGAAAUAGAACGGGAGGAAAACACAAGAAUGCUGAGAAGCAGUAGUCUAUGGCAUCACAAGCGUCACAAGAGCAGCAUGUUUGAAGAAAGAGGAGGUUGCCAUCUGUGUUCAACGUGGCUGAGAGGUGGAGUAAGAAGACAGCAAAGUGUGCAGUGGAUGUGGAGAUGCAAGGCACACAGGCAAGCAUAACAAGAGCAGCUUCAACAGAGUAGGAGGAAACCCAGGGCAGUGCCUGGACAGCUGCUCCUCUUUCUCCUCACCCUUCCAGAAAGUGCCACGCCUCCCACUGCCCUGGAUGCCCCAUCACUUGCAUAUUCAUACCUACCCUAAAAUACUUGAAUGUAGCGGUAGGUUUCUUUUUGCUUGUAUUCUGUAACGGAAAAAGUGGAAUUAUUACCUGUUUUUUUAUUUAGCUGAUUGCACAAGCUUUUGACAAUUCUAUCAUUUUUCUGACAUCUCUCCCUCUCUGAGAAGAUGAGAAAGAGAAACCAUAAUAAAAUUGCGUCAAUCCCUAUCGUUGAAACAGGUCUUUAUUGUUUCUCAUUAACCUGAGCUUUCUGGAGGGUCCAAGGAUGAAAGCUUGAGGUGCAGCCAACCAGUGCUAAAAUCCUAAACCUCACACUCUGUGUGUAUGUGACACACUCAUGCACACACACACACACACAAAUGUGAAAGGCUCUCUUUCCCUUCCUCCUUUCCUUGUCUCUUGCAAGGUUGAACAGAUUGGUCAUUUUAACCCCAUUAUGACUUCAAUAAAGAGAAGUCAGCCUAAAGAGGGGCAGGGAAUGGGCACAGAAACCAGGUCCUGUGCUCCCCUAGGGAGCGGCUGUGUCUCAACUCAUGAGAUCUUGAAAAUAUUUCCCCCUUCCUAAAAAUUAUUCUCUUCCAGCA
rnacentral:lncRNA from 10 species